AGCGCGUGCGGCCGCCGAGCACAUGGGCCCGCGGGCCGGGCGGGCUCGGGGCGGCCUGGACCCGGACGGGCGGCGAGGGGCCGCGCGCGGGGACGGGCCCCGGCACCCCCCGGGCCCCCCGAGCGGAUUUCCACGCCGAGAGGAUGUUGGCAGCGCCGGCGACCUGCCGAGACGCGGCGGGAUCCACCUUCCACCCUGAUCUUUGGACCAGAAAGGAAUUAAAAAGAUGCCCCUCACGAUGGCCGUGCCUGUCGGUUACAUGGAGCUCCAUUCAAGGAUUUUCGGAGCCUUUUGGAUUUACAGUGAUAUUCAGCUGCCUGGGGAAUAAAGUUGGUGGAAGCUUUCUCUGGAGUUACGUACACCCGACACCUGUCUGGAUGCUACUGGCGGUUUUAAGGAAGGCCCUGGCUGAGUGCCUGGCGGAUCCCUGCAGCCUGGAUGCCCAUGGGAGACGGAGGACCGCGGCUUCCUGUGAGGGCUGACGACUCUGUCCUUCUCUCCUCACGGAUGCCUGGUUGGGUCUCUGCCAGCCCCGCCGGGGGCUCCCUGUGACACGUAAGGCCUGUCUCCUCCUUGUGCACACGCCCUCUGCAUGUUCUGUCAGGUGUCCACCUGGGCUUUAGGGGACACUGGCCUGGCUGGUGGGAGAGGGGUCGCCGUGAUGGAGCCAGCCCUCAAGGGGAGCUGGCGUUGAAUGAGCUCAUUCUGUGCGUCUGCCUGGGUGCUGGGUGCCUGGGGGAGACGGACGGAAAUGGGAAGGAGCUUCCCAGGAGCCUCCACCGUUCCCUGUUGAUGUCCUGGUUUGUGUGCCCGUCUCCGUCCACCAGACCACAAGGGCCUCGAAGGCGGAGGCCUCUUCCUUCUGAAGUGUGUUUUGAACACCCACCACGGUGCCUGGCACGUAGCGUCUCUGGCUGCAGAAAGGGCAUCAGGGCGCGACCGUUAGUGAAUUAAGGUGUUGAGAGUGAGUAGGGACGAGGGCACGCCUCUGUGCUCAGCACGAGAGGCGCAUCGUUGGAUGCUUGCAGGGUGCGUGUGGAGCCAGGAGGCCUGGGUUUGAGUCUCUGACCCACCCCUGCUGUGUGCCUUGGGCCGAGUGGCCGCUGCCUGCCUCUCCCUUCUCUGUUCAGUGGCGGUGACGUGUGCCCUUGCUCUUGCCGGGGUCGUGUUGAGGGUCACAAAAUAGACGCUCGUGCUGACACCCAGCAUGGGGCCCGACACGCGGGAAAGGCUCAGCACAUGGUAGGGUCACCAUUGGCUGGGGGAGGGCUCCUGCAGAGGGUCGGCCGUUGUUUGGGCCGUGAACCAGAGCCAGGUGGCCCGUGCUGGGCUUCACGCCGGGUACCGCGGUUUGGCGCAGGCAGUUGGUCGAAGGUCGCUGUCGCCAGAGCCCGUGGGGAGGUCUGGCGGGCCAGGGAAGGGAGCCUCGCGUCCGUGUGAGGGAGGGGGUGCCAGGCUGGACAUGGCAUUGAAGGUCUGUGG
rnacentral:lncRNA from 1 species